rnacentral:rRNA from 1 species
GACGAACGCUGGCGGCGUGCUUAACACAUGCAAGUCGAACGGUAAGGCUCCAGCUUGCUGGGGUACACGAGUGGCGAACGGGUGAGUAACACGUGGGUGACCUGCCCUGCACUUCGGGAUAAGCCUGGGAAACUGGGUCUAAUACCGGAUAGGACCGCACCGUGAGGGUGUGGUGGAAAGUUUUUUCGGUGUGGGAUGGGCCCGCGGCCUAUCAGCUUGUUGGUGGGGUAAUGGCCUACCAAGGCGGCGACGGGUAGCCGGCCUGAGAGGGUGGACGGCCACAUUGGGACUGAGACACGGCCCAGACUCCUACGGGAGGCAGCAGUGGGGAAUAUUGCACAAUGGGCGGAAGCCUGAUGCAGCGACGCCGCGUGGGGGAUGACGGCCUUCGGGUUGUAAACUCCUUUCACCAUCGACGAAGGGUUUCUGACGGUAGAUGGAGAAGAAGCACCGGCUAACUACGUGCCAGCAGCCGCGGUAAUACGUAGGGUGCGAGCGUUGUCCGGAAUUACUGGGCGUAAAGAGCUCGUAGGUGGUUUGUCGCGUCGUCUGUGAAAUUCCGGGGCUUAACUCCGGGCGUGCAGGCGAUACGGGCAUAACUUGAGUACUGUAGGGGAGACUGGAAUUCCUGGUGUAGCGGUGAAAUGCGCAGAUAUCAGGAGGAACACCGGUGGCGAAGGCGGGUCUCUGGGCAGUAACUGACGCUGAGGAGCGAAAGCAUGGGGAGCGAACAGGAUUAGAUACCCUGGUAGUCCAUGCCGUAAACGGUGGGCGCUAGGUGUGGGUUUCCUUCCACGGGAUCCGUGCCGUAGCUAACGCAUUAAGCGCCCCGCCUGGGGAGUACGGCCGCAAGGCUAAAACUCAAAGGAAUUGACGGGGGCCCGCACAAGCGGCGGAGCAUGUGGAUUAAUUCGAUGCAACGCGAAGAACCUUACCUGGGCUUGACAUAUACAGGAUCGCGCCAGAGAUGGUGUUUCCCUUGUGGCUUGUAUACAGGUGGUGCAUGGUUGUCGUCAGCUCGUGUCGUGAGAUGUUGGGUUAAGUCCCGCAACGAGCGCAACCCUUGUCUUAUGUUGCCAGCACGUUGUGGUGGGGACUCGUAAGAAACUGCCGGGGUUAACUCGGAGGAAGGUGGGGAUGACGUCAAAUCAUCAUGCCCCUUAUGUCCAGGGCUUCACACAUGCUACAAUGGUCGGUACAGUGGGUUGCCAGUCCGUGAGGGCGAGCUAAUCCCGCAAAGCCGGUCUCAGUUCGGAUCGGGGUCUGCAACUCGACCCCGUGAAGUCGGAGUCGCUAGUAAUCGCAGAUCAGCAACGCUGCGGGAAUCACGAAGCGGGGCCU